rnacentral:rRNA from 1 species
UGCGUAGGCGGGGCAAUUAGUCAGUGGUGAAAUCCUGCGGCUUAACCGUAGAACUGCCAUUGAUACUGUUGCCCUCGAGUAUAGUUGAGGUGGGCGGAAUGUGUAAUGUAGCGGUGAAAUGCAUAGAGAUUACACAGAACACCAAUUGCGAAGGCAGCUCACUAAGCUAUAACUGACGCUGAGGCACGAAAGCGUGGGGAGCGAACAGGAUUAGAUACCCUGGUAGUCC